UGGGGAAUAUUGGGACAAUGGGCGAAAGCCUGAUCCAGCGACGCCGCGUGAGCGAUGAAGUAUUUCGGUAUGUAAAGCUCUAUCAGCAGGGAAGAAAAUGACGGUACCUGACUAAGAAGCCCUGGCUAACUACGUGCCAGCAGCCGCGGUAAUACGUAGGGGGCAAGCGUUAUCCGGAUUUACUGGGUGUAAAGGGAGCGUAGACGGAAGUGCAAGUCAGAAGUGAAAGCCCGGGGCUUAACCCCGGGACUGCUUUUGAAACUGUGCAUCUAGAGUGCAGGAGAGGUAAGCGGAAUUCCUAGUGUAGCGGUGAAAUGCGUAGAUAUUAGGAGGAACACCGGUGGCGAAGGCGGCUUACUGGACUGUAACUGACGUUGAGGCUCGAAAGCGUGGGGAGCAAACAGGAUUAGAUACCCUGGUAGU
rnacentral:rRNA from 1 species